rfam:Bacteroidales bacterium WCE2008 genome assembly, contig: Ga0070252_11
AAGGUGGAUCCCGAAAAACCUGAAUAGAGUAGGGA